rnacentral:rRNA from 1 species
CGAAGGGGGCUAGCGUUGUUCGGAAUUACUGGGCGUAAAGCGAGUGUAGGUGGUUGUCAUAGUCAGGCGUGAAAGCCUUGAGCUCAACUCAAGAAAUGCGCUUGAUACUGGGCAGCUAGAGGACCGGAGAGGAUAGUGGAAUUCCCAGUGUAGUGGUGAAAUACGUAGAGAUUGGGAAGAACACCAGUGGCGAAGGCGGCUAUCUGGACGGUUUCUGACACUAAGACUCGAAAGCGUGGGGAGCAAACAGGAUUAGAUACCCUGGUAGUCCACGCCGUAAACGAUGGGUGCUAGACGUUGGCGAGCUUGCUCGUCAGUGUCGCAGCUAACGCGUUAAGCACCCCGCCUGGGGAGUACGGCCGCAAGGUUG